AGCUAGAAUAACGGUGCCCGUACCGCAAACCGACACAGGUAGUCAAGAUGAGAAUUCUAAGGUGAGCGAGCGAACUCUCGUUAAGGAACUCGGCAAAAUGACCCCGUAACUUCGGGAGAAGGGGUGCUCUUUGAGGUUCACGCUUCGAAGAGCCGCAGUGAAUAGGCCCAAGCGACUGUUUAUCAAAAACACAGGUCUCUGCUAAACCGUAAGGUGACGUAUAGGGGCUGACGCCUGCCCGGUGCUGGAAGGUUAAGAGGAGUGGUUAGCGCAAGCGAAGCUACGAAUCGAAGCCCCAGUAAACGGCGGCCGUAACUAUAACGGUCCUAAGGUAGCGAAAUUCCUUGUCGGGUAAGUUCCGACCCGCACGAAAGGCGUAACGAUUUGGGCACUGUCUCAACGAGAGACUCGGUGAAAUCAUAGUACCGGUGAAGAUGCCGGUUACCCGCGACAGGACGGAAAGACCCCGUGGAGCUUUACUGUAGCCUGAUAUUGAAAUUCGGUACAGUUUGUACAGGAUAGGUAGGAGCCUUAGAAGCGUGAGCGCUAGCUUACGUGGAGGCAUUGGUGGGAUACUACCCUAAUUGUAUUGGAUUUCUAACCCGCAGCACUUAUCGUGCUGGGAGACAGUGUCAGGCGGGCAGUUUGACUGGGGCGGUCGCCUCCUAAAGAGUAACGGAGGCGCUCAAAGGUUCCCUCAGAAUGGUUGGAAAUCAUUCAUAGAGUGUAAAGGCAUAAGGGAGCUUGACUGCGAGACCUACAAGUCGAGCAGGGUCGAAAGACGGACUUAGUGAUCCGGUGGUUCCGCAUGGAAGGGCCAUCGCUCAACGGAUAAAAGCUACCCCGGGGAUAACAGGCUUAUCUCCCCCAAGAGUUCACAUCGACGGGGAGGUUUGGCACCUCGAUGUCGGCUCAUCGCAUCCUGGGGCUGUAGUCGGUCCCAAGGGUUGGGCUGUUCGCCCAUUAAAGCGGUACGCGAGCUGGGUUCAGAACGUCGUGAGACAGUUCGGUCCCUAUCCGUCGUGGGCGUAGGAAAUUUGAGAGGAGCUGUCCUUAGUACGAGAGGACCGGGAUGGACAUACCUCUGGUGUACCAGUUGUCGUGCCAACGGCAUAGCUGGGUAGCUAUGUAUGGACGGGAUAAGUGCUGAAAGCAUCUAAGCAUGAAGCCCCCCUCGAGAUGAGAUUUCCCAACUUCGGUUAUAAGAUCCCUCAAAGAUGAUGAGGU
rnacentral:rRNA from 1 species